GAUGAACGCUGGCGGCGUGCCUAAUACAUGCAAGUCGAGCGAACGGACGAGAAGCUUGCUUCUCUGAUGUUAGCGGCGGACGGGUGAGUAACACGUGGAUAACCUACCUAUAAGACUGGGAUAACUUCGGGAAACCGGAGCUAAUACCAGAUGAUAUUUUGAACCGCAUGGUUCAAAAGUGAAAGACGGUCUUGCUGUCACUUAUAGAUGGAUCCGCGCUGCAUUAGCUAGUUGGUAAGGUAACGGCUUACCAAGGCAACGAUGCAUAGCCGACCUGAGAGGGUGAUCGGCCACACUGGAACUGAGACACGGUCCAGACUCCUACGGGAGGCAGCAGUAGGGAAUCUUCCGCAAUGGGCGAAAGCCUGACGGAGCAACGCCGCGUGAGUGAUGAAGGUCUUCGGAUCGUAAAACUCUGUUAUUAGGGAAGAACAUAUGUGUAAGUAACUGUGCACAUCUUGACGGUACCUAAUCAGAAAGCCACGGCUAACUACGUGCCAGCAGCCGCGGUAAUACGUAGGUGGCAAGCGUUAUCCGGAAUUAUUGGGCGUAAAGCGCGCGUAGGCGGUUUUUUAAGUCUGAUGUGAAAGCCCACGGCUCAACCGUGGAGGGUCAUUGGAAACUGGAAAACUUGAGUGCAGAAGAGGAAAGUGGAAUUCCAUGUGUAGCGGUGAAAUGCGCAGAGAUAUGGAGGAACACCAGUGGCGAAGGCGACUUUCUGGUCUGUAACUGACGCUGAUGUGCGAAAGCGUGGGGAUCAAACAGGAUUAGAUACCCUGGUAGUCCACGCCGUAAACGAUGAGUGCUAAGUGUUAGGGGGUUUCCGCCCCUUAGUGCUGCAGCUAACGCAUUAAGCACUCCGCCUGGGGAGUACGACCGCAAGGUUGAAACUCAAAGGAAUUGACGGGGACCCGCACAGGCGGUGGAGCAUGUGGUUUAAUUCGAAGCAACGCGGAGAACCUUACCAAAUCUUGGCAUCCUUUGACAACUCUAGAGAUAGAGCCUUCCCCUUCGGGGGACAAAGUGACAGGUGGUGCAUGGUUGUCGUCAGCUCGUGUCGUGAGAUGUUGGGUUAAGUCCCGCAACGAGCGCAACCCUUAAGCUUAGUUGCCAUCAUUAAGUUGGGCACUCUAAGUUGACUGCCGGUGACAAACCGGAGGAAGGUGGGGAUGACGUCAAAUCAUCAUGCCCCUUAUGAUUUGGGCUACACACGUGCUACAAUGGACAAUACAAAGGGCAGCGAAACCGCGAGGUCAAGCAAAUCCCAUAAAGUUGUUCUCAGUUCGGAUUGUAGUCUGCAACUCGACUACAUGAAGCUGGAAUCGCUAGUAAUCGUAGAUCAGCAUGCUACGGUGAAUACGUUCCCGGGUCU
rnacentral:rRNA from 1 species